CGUAUCUGUCUGCUUUCAUGGAGGACUACAAAAAUCGGAGCAUAGUUACUGUUGAGAGGCAGAAAUUUGGACAAUUUGAAGGUUGAGGAAUUAAUCAGGAAAUACUGAAGGCUUUCUGUAUGUGGGUCAUAUCGGCUAAUGCAGCACACAUUGACAUUUGACAAUGGGAGAACGACAGGCAGAGGAUGGAAACGUUAUGACGGGGCCAUGGUCGAAAGCGAGGAUGACAGGGUUGUUCUCCUCUGUCCCGUGGCUUUGAUGCCACAUCGGGGAGAUCGGGAUGCCGGGGGCUCCACGGGGAGAUGAGGAGGAGCAGCAGAAGAGAUGGAAGGAUGCGAGGGGGAGGGGAAGACAUCAAUACAAACAUUUGCCAAGGAUCAAAAUGAAAUCCUCCACAUAGACAGAGAACACUUCAAAACGGAAAGCAAGAAAGUCUUUGUGAAACCAUAAACCAUAAAAGAUGAGCUGGCCAUCAUUCUAUCUUGACACAGAAGUAUUGGGACACGUAAAUUAGGCCUCCAGGAAGUGAAGAUGGAAGAAAAUAUGUUGCUGGGUUAUCUUUGCAGCGAUAUCAGCUUCCACUAUGUGCGUCAGUGGCGUUUUUCUGUCUUUGCAUCCACAAGAACAUUUGCGAGGUAGGAUGUAGAUAGAUGGUCAGUGGAAACUUGCUUUUCAUCUCAAUGAUGUCCCGGUUU